GCAGUCGACGGUACAGGAAGAAGCUUGCUUCUUUGCUGACGAGUGGCGGACGGGUGAGUAAUGUCUGGGAAACUGCCUGAUGGAGGGGGAUAACUACUGGAAACGGUAGCUAAUUCCGCAUAACGUCGCAAGACCAAAGAGGGGGACCUUCGGGCCUCUUGCCAUCGGAUGUGCCCAGGUGGGAUUAGCUAGUUGGUGAGGUAACGGCUCACCUAGGCGACGAUCCCUAGCUGGUCUGAGAGGAUGACCAGCCACACUGGAACUGAGACACGGUCCAGACUCCUACGGGAGGCAGCAGUGGGGAAUAUUGCACAAUGGGCGCAAGCCUGAUGCAGCCAUGCCGCGUGUAUGAAGAAGGCCUUCGGGUUGUAAAGANCUUUCAGCGGGGAGGAAGGGAGUAAAGUUAAUACCUUUGCUCAUUGACGUUACCCGCAGAAGAAGCACCGGCUAACUCCGUGCCAGCAGCCGCGGUAAUACGGAGGGUGCAAGCGUUAAUCGGAAUUACUGGGCGUAAAGCGCACGCAGGCGGUUUGUUAAGUCAGAUGUGGAAUCCCCGGGCUCAACCUGGGAACUGCAUCUGAUACUGGCAAGCUUGAGUCUCGUAGAGGGGGGUAGAAUUCCAGGUGUAGCGGUGAAAUGCGUAGAGAUCUGGAGGAAUACCGGUGGCGAAGGCGGCCCCCUGGACGAAGACUGACGCUC
rnacentral:rRNA from 1 species